GUGUAGAGCUUUUUGUUCAUGUUGGUUAAGUUUGGUCUAAUGAAAAACAAGUGCAAGCCAUCAAAGCCAGCUUGCAUUCAGUGUCUUGUUUGUAUUGUGUAAGGAGUAUGGCUAACCAGAUCCAUUCAGCUUAGUAGAAGCCCAAUGCACAUCUACCAGCAGCAUGCCCCAUCCAAUUGGGCAUCACGUCUGCAUGUAAUGUUAAUUUACACUGUACACAGACACACACACACUUACAAGCAGCACGUGUGACCAGCUCAGAGGUGCCUCUCGCGCUCUAACGCACACACCAUCCAAUUGGGCAUCACGUCUGCAUGUAAUGUUAAUUUACACUGUACACAGACACACACACACUUACAAGCAGCACGUGUGACCAGCUCAGAGGCGCCUCUCGCGCUCUAACGCACACACCAUCCGAUUGGGCAUCACGUCUG